CUUUGGUCCCGUUUAGGAGACUGCGUGGGUGUUGUCACCAUGUUCCUAUCUGCGGUCACCUUUGCCAAGAGCAAGUCAAAAACCAUUCUGGUGAAAAUGCUGAGCCAAGCUGGGACAGGUUACUCCUUCAACACUAAGCGAAGCCGACUACGGGAGAAACUGACUCUCUUGCAUUAUGAUCCAAUUGUGAAAACAAAAGUCCUCUUUGUGGAACAGAAGAAAAUACGUUCCCUCUGAACAAUGGAUUGAAAACGAGUUUGAUUUAUAAAUGAGAAUACUGAGGGUGGGAUACUAAUUCAGAAAUUCUGCAGCAUGUAAUAAAAGAAGAGGAAAUGGCACGGAAUCACUGCCUCCUGUGAUUUGAAGGCCAUUGUGAAGAAAAACAAUGUACUGAAAGAAAGUUCUUCAUAUUAGGACAUAUAUCAUUGCAUCACAUUUAUUUAUCUCUCUGGAUAUUUUUAUAGCCCUUAAUAAAAAAUAU